rnacentral:rRNA from 1 species
UACGUAGGGUGCGAGCGUUGUCCGGAAUUACUGGGCGUAAAGAGCUCGUAGGUGGUUUGUCGCGUUGUUCGUGAAAACUCACAGCUUAACUGUGGGCGUGCGGGCGAUACGGGCAGACUGGAGUACUGCAGGGGAGACUGGAAUUCCUGGUGUAGCGGUGGAAUGCGCAGAUAUCAGGAGGAACACCGGUGGCGAAGGCGGGUCUCUGGGCAGUAACUGACGCUGAGGAGCGAAAGCGUGGGGAGCGAGCAGG